rnacentral:rRNA from 1 species
GACGAACGCUGGCGGCGUGCUUAACACAUGCAAGUCGAACGGUGACGAGGAGCUUGCUCCUCCGAUCAGUGGCGAACGGGUGAGUAACGCGUGAGCAACCUGCCUUUCAGAGGGGGACAACAGUUGGAAACGACUGCUAAUACCGCAUAAUGUAUUCGAGUGGCAUCACUUGGAUACCAAAGAUUUUAUCGCUGAAAGAUGGGCUCACGUCUGAUUAGCUAGUUGGUGAGGUAAUGGCUCACCAAGGCUGCGAUCAGUAGCCGGACUGAGAGGUCGAACGGCCACAUUGGGACUGAGAUACGGCCCAGACUCCUACGGGAGGCAGCAGUGGGGAAUAUUGGGCAAUGGGCGCAAGCCUGACCCAGCAACGCCGCGUGAAGGAAGAAGGCUUUCGGUUGUAAACUUCUUUUGGUCAGGGACGAAACAAAUGACGGUACCUGCAGAAUAAGCUCCGGCUAACUACGUGCCAGCAGCCGCGGUAAAACGUCUA